rnacentral:ncRNA from 12 species
AUCCUUUUGUAGUUCAUGAGCGUGAUGAUUGGGGGCUCAUGCCGUUGUGUGACAUGUGCCUCCCUGAAACCUUGUUAUGACCAUGGCACAUUACCCAUCUGACA